rnacentral:rRNA from 1 species
GCCGCGGUAUCUUGACCGUGCAAAGGUAGCAUAAUCAUUAGUUUUUUAAUUGGGAACUCGUAUGAAUGGUUGGACAAAGAAGAAACUGUCUCUCUUGUUAAAGUUGAAUUUAACUUCUAAGUGAAAAGGCUUAGAUUGUCUAGAGGGACGAUAAGACCCUAUAAAGCUUUAUAAAUUUAGGGAUUUUAUAAAUUUUUAAAUAACAAUAAUUUUUCGAUUAUUUAUUUGGUUGGGGCGACAAUAGUAUAAUGAAAGUAACUGCUUUUAGAUAAAACAUGAGUAUGUGAGUCAUAUUUAAUUGAUCCUUUUUAAAGAUUUUAAGAUCAAGUUACUUUAGGGAUAACAGCGUUAUUUCUUCUGAGAGUUCUUAUCAAAGGAGAAGUUUGCGACCUCGAUGUUGAAUUAAAAUGUCUAUGUAGUGCAGCAGCUACACAAGAAGGUC